rnacentral:snoRNA from 1 species
AAUAUCCAGAAGCCUUGCUCCUCAGAUCUAAAUAUUGGUCUGUGGGGCAAAACAAAGAGGAAAAGAAAACUGAAGUGAACUUGGGGUCUCUAGUGACAUGCAAGUUCAUUUCAAACAUAU